GACGAACGCUGGCGGCGUGCUUAACACAUGCAAGUCGAACGAGGCCCACUCUUCGGGGGUGGGUUCUAGUGGCGAACGGGUGAGUAACACGUGGGCAACCUGCCCCCGGCUCUGGGAUAACUCCAAGAAAUUGGGGCUAAUACCGGAUAUUCACUGCUGGCCGCAUGGUUGGUGGUGGAAAGAUUUAUCGGCUGGGGAUGGGCCCGCGGCCUAUCAGCUUGUUGGUGGGGUAGUGGCCUACCAAGGCGACGACGGGUAGCCGGCCUGAGAGGGUGACCGGCCACACUGGGACUGAGACACGGCCCAGACUCCUACGGGAGGCAGCAGUUGGGAAUCUUGGACAA
rnacentral:rRNA from 1 species